CGUUCGGACGGGUUUCAAAGUCCGUCCGGUUGACGAUUCCCAACCGCGAUGACGUCGCCCGCUUGCGGACUACGCCCGCCAUGGCUAAACAUUCAAAGGGAUUGCCCGGGGUCCCCGCGCAAGCAGCGCAUCCGUGUGGUGCAAGGUCGAUGUAAGCGUCGAAGAGCCCUGCCCGCGGUCUGUCAUUCAGGGUGGUAAGAGAGCGAAAAGCAGCACGUACCUUCGCGGAGCCUGAACAGGUGUUACAUGGCUGUCGUCAGCUCGUGUCGUGAGAUGUUCGGCUAAGUCCCCUAACGAGCGCAACCCUCAUCGUAUGUUACAAGGGUCAUAUGAGACCUCCGGUAUCAAUCCGGAGGAAGGUGGGGAUGACGUCAAGUCAGCAUGGCCUUUAUAUCCGGGGCUACACACACGCUACAAUGGCUGGUACAAUGGUUUGUUAAGAGGGGAGGCCGGGCCCCUACCCAAAACUUUUGGUAANUCGUGGCCCAGGAGGCAAAUNCUAAAGACAUCGNACACUAUAAAGAAU
rnacentral:rRNA from 1 species